GGAAAAAAGAUAAGUUGAAGAAAAAGAAGGAAAAGAAAAAAAAGAAAGAAAAAUCAGGACCAGUACAGCUUUCUAAGUUCUUAAAAGAUAAAAAGAAGAAUCAAAACUACAGUAUGAUCACAGGAAAGAAAAUUAAGAUGAAAAUAAAGAAGAGUAAAAAGGAUAAAGAGCGUGACCGAAACCGUGCUGAACUCCUUGAUUUCUUGAACUCUGCUUUGUAGUGAAUAUGCUACUAAGCAAGGACCAGUAAGUCUUUCAACUCAUUUGGUGAUCCUGCUUCCCAAAGCACCAAAUACAAGCUCAGAGUGAGAGCUGGAAGAACCCAAUGUGUGACAAGCGGAAACUGUCUUGCUGGGAAGAUAAUUGGUACCUCGGUUCACAACAGGCAAAGUAAAGAAUUUGACAAUUCGUCAAGAACCAUAUUGCCACUUCUGAGGGGCCCCUCAUACAAAAUUCUCUCUGGUGACUGCUUAAAAAUUGUAUGAUAUUGAAAAUUCUCUAAAGAGAGAUGACAUUGUUGUAUUUUGGCAUGCUGUGUAUAUCCCAGACAGCAUAUACAACUUUACCAUCAGUUGUCCUUUGUCAUUUUUCAUGUUAAAGCUGAGUGCUUGAAAAUAAGCUGUUUAAAAAGAAGCCUAUCUGUGUAUAGAUAUU